rnacentral:rRNA from 1 species
UACGUAGGGGGCAAGCGUUGUCCGGAUUUAUUGGGCGUAAAGAGCGUGUCGGCGGCUUUACAGGUCCGCUGUGAAAACUCGAGGCUCAACCUCGAGCUGUCGGUGGAAACCGUAAGGCUAGAGUCCGGAAGAGGAGAGUGGAAUUCCCGGUGUAGCGGUGAAAUGCGCAGAUAUCGGGAAGAACACCCGUGGCGAAGGCGGCUCUCUGGGACGGUACUGACGCUGAGACGCGAAAGCGUGGGGAGCGAACAGG